rnacentral:rRNA from 1 species
CCUUAUGAGUAUUCUAAGGCGCUUGAGAGAACUCUGGAGAAGGAACUCGGCAAAUUGACACCGUAACUUCGGAAGAAGGUGUGCCUUUAGUAGGUGAACCAUUUACUUGGGGAGCCCAAUGAGGCCGCAGAGAAUCGGUGGCUGCAACUGUUUAUUAAAAACACAGCACUCUGCAAAGACGAAAGUCGACGUAUAGGGUGUGACUCCUGCCCGGUGCUGGAAGAUUAAAUGAUGGGGUGCAAGCUCUUGACUGAAGUCCCAGUAAACGGCGGCCGUAACUAUAACGGUCCUAAGGUAGCGAAAUUCCUUGUCGGGUAAGUUCCGACCUGCACGAAUGGAGUAAUGAUGGCCACACUGUCUCCUCCAGAGACUCAGCGAAGUUGAAAUGUUUGUGAUGAUGCAAUCUCCCCGCGGAAAGACGGAAAGACCCCAUGAACCUUUACUGUAGCUUUACAUUGGACUUUGAACAGAUCUGUGUAGGAUAGGUGGGAGGCUUUGAAGAGUGGACGCUAGUUUGCUUGGAGCCAACGUUGAAAUACCACCCUGGUGUGUUUGAGGUUCUAACCUUGGUCCCUUAUCGGGAUUGGGGACAGUGUAUGGUGGGCAGUUUGACUGGGGCGGUCUCCUCCCAAAGUGUAACGGAGGAGUUCGAAGGUACGCUAAAUACGGUCGGAAAUCGUGUUGAUAGUGCAUUGGCAUAAGCGUGCUUGACUGCGAGACUGACAAGUCGAGCAGGUACGAAAGUAGGACAAAGUGAUCCGGUGGUUCUGUAUGGAAGGGCCAUCGCUCAACGGAUAAAAGGUACUCUGGGGAUAACAGGCUGAUACCGCCCAAGAGUUCAUAUCGACGGCGGUGUUUGGCACCUCGAUGUCGGCUCAUCUCAUCCUGGGGCUGUAGCCGGUCCCAAGGGUAUGGCUGUUCGCCAUUUAAAGAGGUACGUGAGCUGGGUUUAAAACGUCGUGAGACAGUUUGGUCCCUAUCUUCCGUGGGCGCUGCAAGAUUGAGAGAGCCUGCUCCUAGUACGAGAGGACCGGAGUGGACUCACCUCUGGUGUAUCGGUUGUCACGCCAGUGGCAUCGCCGAGUAGCUAAGUGCGGAAGAGAUAACCGCUGAAAGCAUCUAAGCGGGAAACUCGUCUCAAGAUGAGUCUUGCCGGGGCCUAGAGCCCCCUGAAGGGUCGUUCGAGACCAGGACGUUGAUAGGCUGGGUGUGGAAGCGCGGUAACGCGUUAAGCUAACCAGUACUAAUUGCCCGUGAGGCUUGACCG